rnacentral:rRNA from 1 species
AGGUUAAGUCUGCCCAGUGAAAACUAAUUUUUUAACGGCCGCAGUACUUUGACUGUGCUAAGGUAGCAAAAUAAAUACGCUUUUAAUUAAGGUCGAGAAUGAAUGGCACCAUGGGUGUAAACUGUCUCCUUUUAUGAUUGUUAAUUUGUUUAAUAGGUGAAAAGACCUAUAUUAAAAAUAAUAGACGAGAAGACCCUUAGAGUUUUUAACCAUAUUAGCUAUUAGAUUAGUUUAUUAAUUUUUUGUUGGGGCGACAUAGUAUCAAAUAGCAUACUUAAUAUUAUUGAAUGUAACAAGUCUUUAUUACAAUUGAAUAUAACUACCUAAGGGAUAACAGCAUAAUUUUUAACAUAAAGAUUGUGACCUCGAUGUUGGACUAGGGACUAAAUGUAUUAGUCAUAUAUUUAGAAUAUUCUGU